CUUUGUCUGAACUGAAAUUUUUUAAAAUUGAUUUUCAACCUAUUGUUUUAAAGUUUUUGAAAGAAUAUCUUGUAUUAUUAAUGUUCAUUGAGGUUACUUGAAGUAAUGAAGAUCUCAUUUUUAUGGCAAAAUAGGAAGUUAAACCUUGUGAAAACAGAAACAGUAUAUCUUUAAUUAAUUUGUUUCGCAUGUGUUUGGCUGAAUGGUAUUAUGACAUAUUCAAAUAAGCCAAAUGGUAUCGUGAUUGUUGUUUUGGAAAUAUUCAUUGGAACCUUUGAAAUUUAGUGGUAGAUUUUUGUAGGUCGAAGAAGAUAUUUUCCUCCUAGAACCAAUUGAAUAGAUUUGGAUAGAUAUGGAUGGCGAUAGAUACCUAUCUGCAAUUGUUAUAGCAUAUUUAUUGUGAAAGCCAAAUUGAUGAUCAGAUAUAGGUUUGGUUUCAAUCUUCUUUAUCUGACUUUUUCAAAGAUUUUAGAUAUGGUUGAUAAAUAGAAAGGGCUGUACCAAUUUUGGAUCAGAUGUUCUGAAAUUUCUUCUGUUGUUUAAAGAAAAAUAAAUGCUAUUUUUGAAUCAAUGUUUCUGUUUAGUAUUGGCGAGGGAACGCGAGGGUCAAUGCUAAAGAAGAAGAUGGGGAAUAUGUAAAGGUGGAUGGAGUAGUAGGGGCCGUGCUCGUCUUAGAUAAGAUUUUUAGAAUAAGUUCGAUAGACAGCAACACUAUAGAAAAAUUGUUACUAGGUUCAAGUAUUCAGAAAAAGUUCGGUAGACACAGCUCUAAAGAAAAAUUCAUACUAAAUCAGAUAUUCCGAAAAAUUCCACCAGGCAUCAUUAUAUCUGGUGAUGACAAAAAGAGGAUAAUAAGGUGAAUGUAGACUAUACAAGUUGUUAUAGAGGUAGAAGUCAUUGGUAGAGUAAAAAGAGGUGAUGAUCAGCCUCUGUUUAGCGAUUUGUAUGUCGCAUUCGGUGUCUUGUUGGGGAUUCAUAUUCAUGGCUUGUAUCGGAGCGUUUAUUGUAUUAUAAGAUCGAAAGCGGUUGCGGCGAUGGUGAUAGGGGUAUCGUUUGUGUGAUGACAUGUCGCGAGCGUGUCACAUUUCCGAUUUUCGGCGUUUCGUGUUCUAUUCUUUGUUUGUUUUCUCUCUUUUAUUCUUUCCUUUUUCUUUUUUUCUUUUCCCAAGUGGUUAGUGACAACGAGGAUGAAGAACAUAGAGGGUAGUAGAUGGCAGGAGUUCUCCAUAAAUUCAUGAUCAACGAUUGGUCACAGUUUUCGCAGUUUGCCUUUAUCAAGGAGAGCAUAAUGCCCAUUCAUAGGGAAUGGAAUGUGGUAGGGAGAAGGAAAGUUAUUGUAACAAUUUCUGAAUAUCAUUAUUUCUAGAAUUAGUUAUGUUUGUGUGGUAUUGAGGAUUUUAGCCGAUGCUUUGUGCGUGAAUAUGAGCGAGAAUAUAAGCAUAAGUGUGUCGAUCCUUAUAUCGAUCCACUUAAGAAUUUUCCGAGGCAUUAUUUCAGUGUAAAUGAAUCUUUAUUUUCGUAUGCAAAUGAGAGAGUGAGGUUUGGGUUCUUGAAGAAAAGGAUAGGAAGAAAGAUGGAUGUUCCAAAAAUGACACGAAGCAAUUAAGAUGUGAUUUAAGACGCUCUUCAUUUUUUUGUAUUUUUGUUAAUUUUUUUCGAUAAAUUUUUUAUUUUAUUAAAAUCAUUGAUACCAAAGAAAUUUUGGGGGAUUUGUCCGGGAUUGAGAUUGAAAUCAAGAUUAUGAUUGUGGUCGUGUUCUUACUUACGAAUAAAGUGUAAAAGUGAACGAUAAAGACUAUUAUGAGUACCACAAGUUGUCAGCAAAAGCUUUCUUGCACUAUUAUCGAAAAUAAUUAGACGGAAAAACAAUAGAAGAUAAAAAUUCUGGAAUUUAAAGAUGAACUUAAAUGACGAAAAUUGAAGAUAUAAAGGAAGAAAGACGAGUUAGUGGAACUAAUAGCUGCUUUACUGCUGAAAACAGCUAAAUAAAACGAAAGUGACGACGAUGGUGCACACACCAAUGACGACGCAAAGGAAAACAUAAGACUGAAGACGUAAGUCGAUAGAAGUUUUCAUUAUCAGAGAUGUAGAAGAGUCAAUGUAAACGUUCAUGAUCGACUAGAUGAAUACGAAGAAAUGACGACUUUCUGUAAUUGGACAGAUUUUCAGAAGCCUGAAGCUAUAAGAUCAAUGGCCGCUAAUCAAUACAUCUGUCAUGUUGAUUAUGAACUUGCCUCUUUCGUGAUCUUCAACUGUUUGUGCAGGAAGUUCCAGAUUCUGACAGUAUCAUUAUCACUACAAGUUGCCAGUUUAUUAUUUGUUGGACUGAGAUUACCUAUACAAAUACAAGAAUUACAAAUGGAUAAUAA